UACAGAGGUGGCAAGCGUUGUUCGGAAUUACUGGGCGUAAAGGGCGCGUAGGCGGCCAUCUAAGUCAGACGUGAAAUCCCCCGGCUUAACCUGGGAACUGCGUCUGAUACUGGACGGCUUGAGUAUGGGAGAGGGAUGUAGAAUUCCAGGUGUAGCGGUGAAAUGCGCAGAUAUCAGGAAGAACACCAACGGCGAAGGCAGCUCGCUGGGACGGAACUGACGCUGAGGCGACGAAAGCGUGGGGAGCGAACAGG
rnacentral:rRNA from 1 species